rnacentral:rRNA from 1 species
UACGUAGGGGGGCUAGCGUUGUCCGGAAUCAUUGGGCGUAAAGCGCGUGUAGGCGGUCCGGUAAGUCCGCUGUGAAAGUCCAGGGGCUCAACCCUGGAAUGCCGGUGGAUACUGUCGGGCUCGAAUCCGGAAGAGGUGAGUGGAAUUCCUGGUGUAGCGGUGGAAAUGCGCAGAUAUCAGGAGGAACACCAAUGGCGAAGGCAGCUCACUGGGAC